GAAGAAAGUGGGAGGCGUGCCUAAUACAUGCAAGUUGAGCGCUGAAGGUUGGUACUUGUACCAACUGGAUGAGCAGCGAACGGGUGAGUAACGCGUGGGGAAUCUGCCUUUGAGCGGGGGACAACAUUUGGAAACGAAUGCUAAUACCGCAUAAAAACUUUAAACACAAGUUUUAAGUUUGAAAGAUGCAAUUGCAUCACUCAAAGAUGAUCCCGCGUUGUAUUAGCUAGUUGGUGAGGUAAAGGCUCACCAAGGCGAUGAUACAUAGCCGACCUGAGAGGGUGAUCGGCCACAUUGGGACUGAGACACGGCCCAAACUCCUACGGGAGGCAGCAGUAGGGAAUCUUCGGCAAUGGACGAAAGUCUGACCGAGCAACGCCGCGUGAGUGAAGAAGGGUGUCGGAUCGUAAAACUCUGUUGGUAGAGAAGAACGUUGGUGAGAGUGGAAAGCUCAUCAAGUGACGGUAACUACCCAGAAAGGGACGGCUAACUACGUG
rnacentral:rRNA from 1 species